rnacentral:lncRNA from 1 species
GUUAAAUGACGAGACAGAGGCAUUGAUGAGAGUAACCAGUCUUGUUCAUCCGGGUAUUUCAAGCACACCGGUAAAAACACUGGAGUUGCAGUAAUUAACAUUUACCAACAGAUGGCAUCACUGUGACAUCUUACACCCAUAACACCAAUGUGGGCGUUGUGCCCUUUCCUUUUAAAUUAUGAUUACAUGUUUUGAUUGCACUUCGAUUCACAUUAGUUGAGCGCCCUACACUUCUUUUCAUGAUCAAUAUUUAUUUACAGACACUGUAGUGAACUACAGUCUAAUCAUAUUUAAAUUCAUUUCAUAUUCAAAUGAACUGCCACGUGAUUCUUCGCCCAUGUUGGCAACCUACUAUAUUUCAAUGAGACCACACAUACUAUCCGCACUUGAACUCUCACGCCCAAAAAGACAGGUGGGCUACUGAAGUUGAAGCAGCGAAUUCUGUGUGUAUGAAUAAUGCGAAAAAGAUGUGAUUUUAAUACAAUAGGUAGGCUAAAGCAUAGAAAGCAGAAAGAGGACCGUUUCAAAAUAAAUAGUACUCAUGUCUUAGCAGGAUCAGAUGGUGACAGCGCAGGGUCAGACAGCCAGGGAAGACAAGUCUACGGAGCUCAGGAGGAUCAGAUUGUGACAGGGGUCUCAGCAGAGUCAGGCAGACAGGCAAUACCAGUCUGUGACAGAGAUGAACGUGGUACCUUCAGGCGUUUGGAAAUUGCUCCCAAGGAUGAACCAGGUCUACAAUUAUUUUUCUGAGGUCUUGGCUGAUUUCUUUUGAUUUCCCAUGAUGUCAAGCAAAGAGGCACUGAGUUUGAAGGUAGGCCUUGAAAUACAUCCACAGGUACACCUCCAAUCGACUCAAAUGAUGUCAAUUAGCCUAUCAGAAGCUUGUAAGCAAUGACAUAAUUUUCUGGAAUUUUCCAAGUUGUUUAAAGGC